UAGGGAAUCUUCGGCAAUGGACGAAAGUCUGACCGAGCAACGCCGCGUGAGUGAAGAAGGUUUUCGGAUCGUAAAACUCUGUUGUUAGAGAAGAACAAGGACGUUAGUAACUGAACGUCCCCUGACGGUAUCUAACCAGAAAGCCACGGCUAACUACGUGCCAGCAGCCGCGGUAAUACGUAGGUGGCAAGCGUUGUCCGGAUUUAUUGGGCGUAUAGCGAGCGCAGGCGGUUUCUUAAGUCUGAUGUGAAAGCCCCCGGCUCAACCGGGGAGGGUCAUUGGAAACUGGGAGACUUGAGUGCAGAAGAGGAGAGUGGAAUUCCAUGUGUAGCGGUGAAAUGCGUAGAUAUAUGGAGGAACACCAGUGGCGAAGGCGGCUCUCUGGUCUGUAACUGACGCUGAGGCUCGAAAGCGUGGGGAGCAAACAGG
rnacentral:rRNA from 1 species